rnacentral:misc_RNA from 1 species
GAUGAAGAACGUAGCGAAUUGCGAUAAGUAAUGUGAAUUGCAGAUUUUCAGUGAAUCAUCGAAUCUUUGAACGCACAUUGCGGCCAUAGGUAUUCCUUUGGCCAUGCCUGUUCGAGCGUCAUUUACACCCUCAAGCCUAGCUUGGUGUUGGGCGUCUGUCCCGCCGUUCUCGCGCGCGGACUCGCCUCAAAGUCAUUGGCGGCGGUCGUGCCGGCCCCCUCGCGCAGCACAUUUGCGCUUCUCGGAGGCCCGGCGGAUCCGCGCUCCAGCAAGACCUUUCACGACUUGACCUCGGAUCAGGUAGGGAUACCCGCUGAACUUAAGCAUAUCAAUAAGCGGAGGA